rnacentral:misc_RNA from 1 species
GUGAAUCAUCAAAUUUUUGAACGCAUAUUGCACUCUCUGGUAUUCCGGAGAGUAUGCCUGUUUGAGGGUAAUUAAAAACAAUCUUAACCCAAUUUUUUUGGCCAAAGGAAAUGAGUUCUCCGGGUUUAUAGCGUUACCUUGAAAUAAAUGUUAAGGCCUCAUUUUAGUCGACACCCGUAAUAAUAUUAUUUCGCA